GACGAACGCUGGCGGCGUGCUUAACACAUGCAAGUCGAACGGAAAGGCCCUGCUUUUGUGGGGUGCUCGAGUGGCGAACGGGUGAGUAACACGUGAGUAACCUGCCCUUGACUUUGGGAUAACUUCAGGAAACUGGGGCUAAUACCGGAUAGGAGCUCCUGCUGCAUGGUGGGGGUUGGAAAGUUUCGGCGGUUGGGGAUAGACUCGCGGCUUAUCAGCUUGUUGGUGUGGUAGUGGCUUACCAAGGCUUUGACGGGUAGCCGGCCUGAGAGGGUGACCGGCAACAUUGGGACUGAGAUACGGCCCAGACUGCUACGGGAGGCAGCAGGGGGGAAUAUUGCACAAUGGGCGGAAGCCUGAUGCAGAAACGCCGCGUGCGGGAUGACGGCCUUCGGGUUGUAAACCGCUUUCGCCUGUGACGAAGCGUGAGUGACGGUAAUGGGUAAAGAAGCACCGGCUAACUACGUG
rnacentral:rRNA from 1 species